rnacentral:tRNA from 1 species
GUUGUGGUGGUUCAGUGGUAGAAUUCUUGCCUUCCAUGCAGAAGGCCUGGUUUAAUUCCUGGCCAGUACA